GUCCACAAGCUACAGCACAGUUGGCAGAGCUUGAGACUCUUAAUCUCAGUGUUGUUGGUUUGAGCCCUGCACUGCAGGGGGUUGGACU